UGCGGAACUGCUGGCCCCUUAUACCGGCGAUGUGGCUGCUGAGGGGAUUGGCAAAGCACUGCGUAACGGUGCGUUUCUGAUACGCCACGGCUUUGAGCGCCAGCAGAACUAUGUGGCAGAAGUGCUUACCGAAGAGUGGCGCCUGGCGCCUGGGGCACUGGAAGUGGCCUGGUUUGCGGAAGAAACCGCCGCAGUAGAACGCGCAGUGGACGCAUUCAGCAAACGCCUGGAUAAACUGGAGGGCAAAUGA
rnacentral:sRNA from 1 species